CAUGCAAGUCGAGGGGCAGCAUCAUCAAAGCUUGCUUUGAUGGAUGGCGACCGGCGCACGGGUGAGUAACACGUAUCCAACCUGCCGACAACACUGGGAUAGCCUUUCGAAAGAAAGAUUAAUACCGGAUGGUAUAGUUUUCCCGCAUGGGAUGAUUAUUAAAGAAUUUCGGUUGUCGAUGGGGAUGCGUUCCAUUAGGCAGUUGGCGGGGUAACGGCCCACCAAACCUACGAUGGAUAGGGGUUCUGAGAGGAAGGUCCCCCACAUUGGAACUGAGACACGGUCCAAACUCCUACGGGAGGCAGCAGUGAGGAAUAUUGGUCAAUGGACGAGAGUCUGAACCAGCCAAGUAGCGUGAAGGAUGACUGCCCUAUGGGUUGUAAACUUCUUUUAUACGGGAAUAAAGUGAGCCACGUGUGGCUUUUUGUAUGUACCGUAUGAAUAAGGAUCGGCUAACUCCGUGCCAGCAGCCGCGGUAAUACGGAGGAUCCGAGCGUUAUCCGGAUUUAUUGGGUUUAAAGGGAGCGUAGGCGGGUUGUUAAGUCAGUUGUGAAAGUUUGCGGCUCAACCGUAAAAUUGCAGUUGAUACUGGCGACCUUGAGUGCAACAGAGGUAGGCGGAAUUCGUGGUGUAGCGGUGAAAUGCUUAAAUAUCACGAAGAACUCCGAUUGCGAAGGCAGCUUACUGGAUUGUA
rnacentral:rRNA from 1 species